rfam:Clonorchis sinensis DNA, scaffold: 483, strain: Henan.
GGCCGUGACGAUACUAUGUUGGAACCACCAGUUCUUGUCUGAUCACCGAGGUUGAGCAAUGUUGGGCCCGGUUAGCACUGCAUGGGUGAUCGUCUGAAAAUACCGGUCGUUCACUCU